UACAGAGGUCUCAAGCGUUGUUCGGAUUCAUUGGGCGUAAAGGGUGCGUAGGCGGCGCGGUAAGUCGGGUAUGAAAUCUCGGGGCUUAACUCCGAAACUGCAUUCGAUACUGCCGUGCUUGAGGACUGGAGAGGAGACUGGAAUUACGGUGUAGCGGUGAAAUGCGUAGAUAUCGUAAGGAAGACCAGUGGCGAAGGCGGGUCUCGUGGACAGUUCCUGACGCUGAGGCACGAAGGCCAGGGGAGCAAACGGG
rnacentral:rRNA from 1 species